CGAAAAUGGAGAGUUUAGUGUCUAUGGAGACUUAAAAACCAGUCAAUUUGAAACGGAUAUCCAGAUUAAUAAGCUAAAACACAAGUCACCAGGUUUAUAAAAUAACGGUUUAGCACUGGAUGUCAGCAAAAUGGCAGAGUUUUGCAAGCUCUUGUCCUCUCACAGAAACAUCAAAAAACAAGUAGAAAACAUCAGAACCAAUUUUAUGAACUCUGGAAAACAAUGAAAAGUUACAGCAACCAAAUUCCUGUGUUGAAACGUAACCCCCAGUGUGACAGUAUUAAGAGCUGGCAAACAUCAUAACCAACCAGAAUUAACCACCUUCAGAUAGAUGCCUGGGGCAAAAGAUUACAACCCAAAUGUACAAAAGACUAUCUAAGGCAAAAGAUGGGGAGCGCUUCUCUGGCAAUUUAAGACAUUGAAAAGCAACCAUGUAUGCUGGGGAAUUUGGAAAGUCACAGGAAACAGUAACUAACACUAAUCCUUCUCAAACUCUUCCAAAAAAUUGAAGAGGAGGGAACACUUCCUAACUAAUUUUAUGAGACCAUCGUUACACCAAUACCAAUAUCAAAGACACCACAAGAAAACUAUAAACUAAUAUCUCUUAUGAAUAUAGAUGCAAACGUCCUCAACAAAUACCAGCAAACCCAAUCCAAUAGCAUAUUAAAAGGAUUGUAUACCAUAGCCAAGUGGCAUUUAUCCCCGAAACACAACAGGGAAAAUCCUGUGUUUCAACAGGGGAAAAUCAAUCAAUACCACACUAACAGAACAAAGGACAACAAAUAACCACAUGACCAUUUCAAUAGAUGCUGAAAAGACACUUGACAAAAUCCAAUGCUCUUUCAUGAUAAAAAACACUCAAAAACUAGAGAUACAAGGGAAAUUCCUCAAAAUGAUAAGGGCAUUUAUGAAAAUCAUGGAAUCAUCAUCAUACUCGAGUGAAAGACAGAAAGCUUUUCCCUUAAGAUCAGAAACAAGACAAAGAUGCCUACUUUAACCAGUGAUAUUCAACAUUAUACUGAAAG